GCCCGCCCGUUUUCUCCUACACACACACACACUCUCUCUCUCUCAUACACUCAGUUCCCACAAUCUACCUCGCAAAACCCUCGCAAAACCGCAAACGUGCAACAUGAGUUUCGCAUCGUACAAGAUGAUGCAUUUGCCUACUGGCGUCGAGCACUGUGCCUCAGGCUUUAUAUCUCAUUCCGCCGCUGAUUUCACUUCCCAAAUUCACCCGGUCUCCGCCGACGACCUGGACUCCGAAUGGCUCACUUCCACCAAGCCCGCUGGCCCAAUACCCAACCUCAUCACAGCUGCCGCCAAUGUUCUCGAAAUCUACACUGUCAGAUUGCAGGAAGAUUCAUCUUCACCUGUGGACUCCAAGAAUCUGGCCGAACCCAAGCGCGGCGGUGUCUUAGCAGGGAUUUCUGGGGCAUCCCUUGAGCUAGUUUGCCAUUACAGGUUGCAUGGCAAUGUAGAGUCAUUGGGAGUGUUACCUUCUGGAGGCAUUGAUGGUGGAAGGAAGAGAGAUGCUAUUAUAUUGACUUUUCAAGAUGCAAAGAUUUCAGUCUUGGAGUUUGAUGAUUCAAUACAUGGGCUUCGCACUAGUUCAAUGCACUGUUUUGAGGGUCCAGACUGGCUGUACUUGAAAAGAGGCAGAGAAUGUUUUUCAAGAGGUCCACUGGUGAAGGUUGAUCCACAGGGUAGAUGUGCCAGUGUUCUUGUUUAUGGACUACAGAUGAUAAUUCUCAAGGCAGCCGAGGUCAGUUCUGGUUUAGUCAGCGAGCACAAUGCAUUUAGUUCAGGUGCUACUGUUGCUUCCCGAAUCGAGUCAUCGUAUAUUAUUGGCCUACGAGAUCUUGACAUGAAGCAUGUCAAAGACUUUAUAUUUAUACACGGUUACAUUGAGCCUGUCAUGGUUAUCCUACAUGAACGAGAGCUUACUUGGGCUGGACGUGUCUCAUGGAAGCAUCAUACCUGUACAAUUUCUGCACUUAGCAUCAGCACAACUUUGAAGCAGCAUCCACUCAUAUGGUCGGCAACUAGUCUCCCUCAUGAUGCAUACAAGCUCCUUGCAGUGCCAUCUCCCAUUGGUGGAGUUCUUAUAAUUGGUGCGAAUACAAUUCAUUAUCAUAGUCAGUCAGCAUCGUGUGCAUUAGCAUUGAACAAUUUUGCAGUUCCUGUCAGUGGCAGUCCAGAGAUGCCUAGAUCUGGUUUUACUGUGGAGCUAGAUGCUGCCAACGCAGCCUGGUUAACAAAUGAUGUUGCUAUGUUCUCAACAAAAUCUGGGGAACUGCUUUUACUGACUCUGGUUUACGAUGGGAGAAUUGUUCAAAAACUCGAUCUUUCGAAGUCAAGAGCUUCAGUACUUACUUCAGAAAUCACAACUGUCGGAAACUCGUUAUUUUUCUUGGGCAGUAGUUUGGGUGAUAGUCUGCUUGUGCAAUAUAAUUCUGGAGUAGGAGCCCCACCAGUGACUCCUGGAGUGAAGGAAGAGGUUGAAGAUAUAGAAAGCGAGGCUCCUUUUGCAAAGAGGUUGAGAAGGUCUUCCUCUGAUGCCUUGCAGGAUAUUGUAAGUGGCGAGGAGCUUUCUUUAUAUGGCGCAGGUCCGAAUAAUUCAGAGACUGCACAGAAAACUUUCACUUUUGCAGUCAGGGAUUCAUUGGUUAAUGUUGGUCCCUUGAAGGACUUUUCUCAAGGUUUGAGAACUAAUGCUGAUCCUAAUGCUACAGGAAUUGCAAAGCAAAGUAAUUAUGAACUGGUGUGCUGUUCUGGCCAUGGAAAGAAUGGUGCACUCUCUGUGCUUCAGCAAUCAGUCCGCCCAGAAACAAUAACUCAAGAAUCAUUACCUGGUUGCAAGGGGAUUUGGACUGUUUACCACAAGAAUUCACGCAGUGAUUCUUUGAAGAUGGCAGCUGAUGAAGAUGAAUAUCAUGCAUAUUUAAUCAUUAGUUUGGAGAAUCGUACUAUGGUGCUUCAAACAGCUAAUAAUCUCGAGGAGGUAACAGAAAAUGUUGACUACUAUGUGCAAGGUAGUACAGUUGCUGCAGGAAAUUUAUUCGGAAGACGUCGAGUUAUCCAAGUCUUUGCUCGUGGUGCUCGGAUCCUUGAUGGUGGUUUUAUGACUCAAGAUUUGCUCUUUAAAUCAUCCUACUUAGAAGUUGGUGCAGGUUCUGAAGGCACAGUAGUUUCGUCAGUUUCUAUUGCCGAUCCAUACGUGUUACUGAGAAUGAUUGAUGGAAGUAUUCAGCUUCUUGUUGGAGAUCCAUCUGCUUGCUCUGUUUCAAUUAUGAUUCCGCCAGUAUUCGAAAGCUCGAAGAAGUUGGUAUCUUCUUGUACACUCUAUCAUGAUAAAGGGCCUGAGCCGUGGCUCCGAAAGACGAGUACUGAUGCUUGGCUUUCCACUGGCAUGGGGGAGGCUAUUGAUGGGGCUGAUGGUAUAACCCAUGAUCAGGGUGAUAUAUACUGUGUUGUUUGUUAUGAAAGUGGAGCUCUUGAAAUAUUUGAUGUGCCUAAUUUCAGCAGUGUUUUUUCAGUGGAUAAGUUUGUAUCUGGAAAGACACACAUUAUAGAUACCUUAUUCCAUGACCCAGCCAAUAAUCAUGUAAAACCCACUAAAAAGGAAUCUGAAGAUGUUAUCCACGACAAGAAUGAAAACAGUCACAGUAUCAAGGUUGUGGAGUUGGCCAUGCAGAGAUGGGAGUCACAACAUAGCCGUCCUUUUCUAUUUGGUGUAUUGUCUGAUGGAACCAUUCUAUGUUACCAUGCUUAUGUAUAUGAAGUGUCAGAAAGUGCUUCCAAAGUAGAGGAUGUUUCUUCUCAGAGUAUGGAUCUUAGUGGUGUAAAUGCAUCUAGGCUUAGAAAUUUAAGAUUUGUCCGAGUCCCCUUGGACACAUAUGCAAAAGAGGAGACAUCCUCUGAAACUUCAUCCCAACGCAUUACUUUUUUCAAGAAUGUUGGUGGUUUACAAGGUUUAUUCUUCUCUGGAUCAUGUCCUGCUUGGUUCAUGAUGUUUAGAGAACGGCUUCGUAUCCAUCCACAGGUGUGUGAUGGACCUAUAGUUGCCUUCACUGUCCUUCACAACGUGAACUGCAAUCAUGGAUUUAUCUAUGUAACCUUGCAGGGUGCCUUGAAAAUUUGUCAACUUCCAUCUUCAUUAUCCUAUGACAACUAUUGGCCAGUGCAGAAGAUAUCACUGAAGGGGACUCCACAUCAAGUUACUUAUUUCGCUGAGAAGAAUUUAUACCCGCUUAUAGUUUCAGUUCCAGUUCUCAAGCCAUUGAAUCAAGUCAUCUCGUCUCUGAUUGACCAAGAAGCUGGCAAUCAAUUUGAGCAUGAUAAUAUGAUUUUUGAAGGAACCUAUCCUGUAGAAGAAUUUGAAGUCCGGAUUAUGGAACCAGAAAAAUCCAGUGGACCAUGGAAAACAAGGGCUACGAUUCCCAUGCAAAGUUCUGAAAAUGCUCUAACCGUACGGGUUGUUACAUUAUUUAAUACCUCAACACAAGGAAAUGAAACACUUUUGGCAAUUGGGACUGCUUAUGUGCAAGGGGAAGAUGUAGCCGCCAGAGGGCGUGUGCUCUUAUAUUCUGUUGAAAGUUCUGACAAUGCUCAAGCCUCGGUAAUAGAAGUUUACUCCAAGGAGUUGAAAGGUGCUAUAUCUGCUCUUGCAUCACUUCAAGGUCAUCUGUUGAUUGCUUCAGGUCCUAAGAUUAUUUUACACAAGUGGACUGGUUCUGAGUUGACUGGUGUUGCCUUCUAUGACGUUCCACCUCUUUAUGUCGUGAGCUUAAAUAUUAUCCUUCGCAGGUUAAAAAUUUCAUUCUUGUUGGUGAUAUUCACAAAAGCAUAUACUUCCUUAGUUGGAAGGAACAGGGUUCUCAACUUAAUUUAUUGGCGAAGGAUUUUGGAUCACUUGAUUGUUUAGCAACCGAGUUUUUGAUCGAUGGAAGCACACUCAGUCUGACAGUUUCAGAUGAUCAGAAGAAUGUCCAGAUAUUCUAUUAUGCUCCAAAAAUGUCGGAAAGCUGGAAAGGACAAAAACUUCUUUCAAGGGCUGAGUUUCAUGUUGGUGCCCACAUCACUAAGUUCUUGCGGUUGCAGCUGCUUCCCACAUCAUCUGAUCGAACCGCUCCUGGCUCGGAUAAGACAAAUCGCUUUGGCUUACUAUUUGGCACCCUGGAUGGCAGCAUUGGCUGUAUUGCACCUCUUGAUGAACUCACUUUUCGCAGGCUUCAGUCACUGCAGAAAAAACUUGUAGAUGCUGUUCCCCAUGUUGCUGGGCUAAAUCCAAGAUCUUUUCGCCACUUUCGUUCAAAUGGAAAGGCACAUCGACCUGGUCCUGACAGCAUUGUUGAUUGUGAGCUGCUCUCUCAAUAUGAGAUGCUCUCUCUGGAAGAGCAGCUCGAUAUUGCUCAUCAGAUUGGAACAACACGAAAGCAGAUCAUGUCAAACUUGAACGACCUCACUCUCAGCACAAGCUUCUUAUGAGGCACGACCGGACAAAGCGUUGCUCAAUUAAGUGUGGUAGCAUUUGGUGUCAACUGCAAAAUUAGCGACGACCGAACUGCCCCCAUCAGCCACUCUUUUCCUUUUUAAAUGUUUGGAAGAUAUUUCUUGUAAGAUGCGGUACAUGUACCAUAAACGAGCCUUUGUGAUCAGUUGUGUUCAGGAUAGGAGUUGAUGAAUCUUCAACAUUGAGUUUCUUAUUAUAUGUACAUAUGUAAUUUUCUCGUUCUAAGGUAAUUUCUGUA